rnacentral:rRNA from 1 species
CAGCGAAAGCGAUAAGUGAUCCACCUGGGGAGUACGAUCGCAAGUUGAAACUCAAAGGAAUUGACGGGGCCCGCACAAGCGGAGGAGCAUGUGGUUAUUCGAUGAUACGCGAGGAACCUUACCCGGGCUUGAACGUAAGGCGACGACGCAGGAGACUGCGUUUCCUUCGGGCGCUUUGCGAGGUGCUGCAUGGUUGUCGUCAGCUCGUGCCGUGAGGUGUUAGGUUAAGUCCUGCAACGAGCGCAACCCUUACCUUCAGUUGCCAGCACGUAAUGGUGGGGACUCUGGAGGAACUGCCUACGCAAGUAGAGAGGAAGGUGGGGAUGACGUCAAAUCAGCACGGCCCUUAUGUCCGGGGCUACACACGUGCUACAAUGGCGCGCACAGAGGGCAGCGACCCUGCGAGGGGGAGCCAAUCCAUGAAAGCGCGUCUCAGUCCGGAUCGGAGUCUGGAACCCGACUCCGUGAAGUUGGAUUCGCUAGUAAUCGCGCAUCAGCCAUGACGCGGUGAAUACGUUCCCGGGCCUUGUACACACCGCCCGUCAAGCCAUGGAAGCCGGGGGCGCCUGAAGUCCGCGACCGCAAGGAGCGGCCUAGGGCGAAACUGGUAAUUGGGGCU